rnacentral:rRNA from 1 species
AUUGAACGCUGGCGGCAUGCCUUACACAUGCAAGUCGAACGGCCGCACGGGCUUCGGCCUGGUGGCGCGUGGCGAACGGGCGAGUAAUUUAUCGGAACGUACCCAGCAGUGGGGGCUAACGUAGCGACGGUUACGCUAAUACCGUAUACGAUCUUAGGAUGAACGGCGGGGACCGCAAGGCCUUGUGCUCCUGGAGCGGCCGAUAUCAGAUUAGCUAGUUGGUGAGGUAAAGGCUCACCAAGGCGACGAUCAGUAGCUGGUCUGAGAGGACGACCAGCCACACGGAAACAGAGACGCGCUCCAGACUCAUGCGAGAGGCAGCAGUGGAGAAUUUUGGACAAGGGGCACGAGCGUGAUCCAGCAAUGCCGCGUGAGUGGAGAAGGCCUGCGGGGUGUAAAGCUCUUUUGUCAGAGAAGAAACGGUAGAGGCUAAUAUCCUUUGCUAAUGGCGAUACCUGAAGAAUGAGCACCGGCUAACUGCG